UUUGCUAUUUUUAUUUCCUCUCCUCUCAUCGCCGCACACAUCACCGCUCGAGCUCUACUCUUCCCCCAUUUCCUCUUCAUUGCACCUCUGCCCAACGCCGUCGACGCCGCCCGACGCCGCGCCGCCCGAUGGACGGUGUACCACCGCCAGUGACCCUUGUCAUUCCGGUAGAAGCUACGCUGGGAUGCUAGUGUGUGAUCCUCUAUGCCCUAGCUAUCCUCACCGCCCGAUCUCCUUCGCCUUCUCCUUUCUCCUCUCUGGGUCGCCGCCGACUGCCACGGCCGACGUCAACCAUCAACCGCCAGACGCCAGCCACCGUGAGACUUGACAGUAGAACACCGGCACCCUAGGUUUUCAGCUGCCUCGCCUGAUCGCGUUGCUAAUGCUAGGAGAAAACAAAAUCAACAAGGGGAUUAGGGAAAUCCUAUUCUCUUUGCUCGUGGAAUCGGGAAGAGCCAUCACCUCUUCUUCCCGACUACAGUCGCAGACCACAUCUCCCUCUGCCUUUUUGUAUCAUCGCCAACCACCACACCUGAUGUUGUUCUUCUUCGAUUAUCCUCUGGUCAGUACCCUAGUAUUAUUGUCUCCUGUCUCUUGGUCGGCUCAUAAUCACAGCAGUGGAUCUCCGGCAUAAACAAGGGUUGGAUCAGUCCUUGUAGCUCCAUCUCUGGUUCCAGCAGUAGCUCCACUGAUCACCCAUUCCGGCAGCUAGGUCUUCGGCUGUGAGAUAACAGGGGAGCAAUCAUAUGAAGGGUGUUAGAUUUGGAAAUCAACAACUCCAUCUUGCUCUGGCCUCAAUCCUCGGUAGCGAGCACUUCUCCAAUUGUGAAUUGACAGAGAGGUCUCCAAUUUAGGAUGUUGAUUCGAAAUGAGCGUCUCGACGUGCGAUUGGUUUAUCACGAUCUACAGUUAAAGGCGGAUAUUUCUUGCUUUAUCUCUUUAGUACAUUGAUCUUAGUGCAUGAAUUAAAUAUUCAGAUAGUUACUGUAUUUAUCUUGACUCCACUCUUAUUUUUCUUGCAUUUGAUACUUCCACUCAAUCUUUGAG